rnacentral:tRNA from 1 species
UAACUCAGUUGGUAGAGCAUGGUGUUUGCAACGCCAGGGUUGUGGGUUCUAUUCCCAC